GAUGAACGCUGGCGGCGUGCCUAAUACAUGCAAGUCGAGCGAACGGACGAGAAGCUUGCUUUUCUGAUGUUAGCGGCGGACGGGUGAGUAACACGUGGAUAACCUACCUAUAAGACUGGGAUAACUUCGGGAAACCGGAGCUAAUACCGGAUAAUAUUUUGAACCGCAUGGUUCAAAAGUGAAAGACGGUCUUGCUGUCACUUAUAGAUGGAUCCGCGCUGCAUUAGCUAGUUGGUAAGGUAACGGCUUACCAAGGCAACGAUGCAUAGCCGACCUGAGAGGGUGAUCGGCCACACUGGAACUGAGACACGGUCCAGACGCCUACGGGAGGCAGCAGUAGGGAAUCUUCCGCAAUGGGCGAAAGCCGGACGGAGCAACGCCGCGGGAGUGAUGAAGGUCUUCGGAUCGUAAAACUCUGUUAUUAGGGAAGAACAUAUGUGUAAGUAACUGUGCACAUCUUGACGGUACCUAAUCAGAAAGCCACGGCUAACUACGUG
rnacentral:rRNA from 1 species